AGAACGAACGCUGGCGGCAGGCCUCAAACAUGCAAGUCUAGGGGGUGUAGCAAUACAUCACCGGCGGACGGGUGCGUAACGCGUGGGAAUAUACCUAUUGGUUCGGAACAACUGAGGGAAACUUCAGCUAAAUACCGGAUACGUCCUAACGGAGAAAGAUUUAUCGCCAAUAGAUUAGCCCGCGUUCGAUUAGCUAGUUGGUGGGGUAACGGCCCACCAAGGCGACGAUCGAUAGCUGUUCUGAGAGGAAGAUCAGCCACACUGGGACUGAGACACGGCCCAGACUCCUACGGGAGGCAGCAGUUGGGAAUCUUGGACAAUGGGGGAAACCCUGAUCCAGCCAUGCCGCGUGAGUGAUGAAGGCCUUCGGGUUGUAAAACUCUUUCGCGCACGACGAUAAUGACGGUAGUGCGAGAAGAAGCUCCGGCUAACUUCGCGCCAGCAGCCGC
rnacentral:rRNA from 1 species